rnacentral:rRNA from 1 species
GGUCCAGCCUGCCCAGUGACUUUAUUCAACGGCCGCGGUAUCCUAACCGUGCAAAGGUAGCGUAAUCACUUGCCCUUUAAAUAAGGACUAGUAUGAACGGCAUCACGAAGGUUAAACUGUCUCCCCUUUUUAAUCAGUGAAACUAUCCCCCCCGUGAAGAGUCGGGGAUAUAUCUACAAGACGAGAAGACCCUAUGGAGCUUUAAAUUCUAACAACAAUUGCUCUUAAAUAUAUUUAGCAUUUAUGAUUGUUAAUUUUAGGUUGGGGCGACCACGGAGAAAAACCUAACCUCCAUGCUGACAUAGUAAAACUACAAUUUUAAUACCAUUAAAUUGGCAUCCAUUGACCCAAUAUUUUGAUCAACGAACCAAGUUACCCUAGGGAUAACAGCGCCAUCCACUUCAAGAGCUCAUAUCGACAAGUGGGUUUACGACCUCGAUGUUGGAUCAGGGUAUCCCAGUGGUGCAGCCGCUACUAAA